rnacentral:lncRNA from 1 species
CAGUCAUCACAGGAUUCUCAGACAUAUACUGUGUGCCCUCUGACCAGAUGCUUCUUCUCUCCACAGACUCCUGCUGAUGGUGAAGUAAGUUUGGCACAUUCUUGAAAGACAUAUCAGCCCACCUACCUUAUAAAAGUUUCUGAGUAUUCUUCAUAUAUGGGCACCUAAGGGAAAGAGCCAUGGUCACAAGAAGCAGAAUUCCCUUCAAGCUCCAUGAGACAGCAGUGUCCGACAAAGAGCAGGCAACCUGUAGGAGUGGACAGCUAGCAGAAACAGUGAUUGAUACAGUCCAUAGCUGUCUCUGGGGCUUUGCUGUCUUUUAUUUUAUCUCCACUUUCAGUCCCUGAGAUAUUUUCCAGCUUCAGUCUACAGAAGUACAGAAGUACCAUCUCUCUGCAUUAGUGUGCAGCUCUGCCCAACAAUGCACUGGGGACUGACCCAAACCUCCUUAGUGCUCAGCUCAGUCCUUUCUCAGGAAGAGAGAGUCUCAUUUCCAGACCCUGCAUCACCAGCUGUUUCUUCCAGGGGCUGAGUUUGGUUAUGAGAACUCGUCAGGACAGCCACUACUGGCAGUGGCCAUGCCAAUAUUGUGGGCUGGGGUUCCCAUGUACAAGACAGGUGCUGUUCAGAUACAGCCACAAUCACAAUCAAGUUUGUUGUGGCCAGAAAUAUGUAAAAGAGUCUCAAACUAAGAACUCUGUCACUUCACAGAAACAAGUCUCAUCCAUUGACUAUGAGAGGAACAAGACUUUAUCCACACUAUGACUCUAAGAAGAAGUUGAAAUGUGGUAUAUUUAUACAAUGGAGUACUAUUCAGCAGAAAAAUGCAAUGGAAUCUUGAAAUUCGCAGGCAAAUGGAUGGAACUAGAAGAAACAAUCCUGAGUGAGGUAACCCAA